CUCUCUCUCUCUCUCCCCCCUUUCCCCGCCCACUCUCUCUCAUCGGUGAUCUUUUUCUCACUUCACGACAAUAUCUCCUCCAAUUCUCUGUCCUUUCUCUCGCGACUCUGGCUCCGAUGAAGCUCUUCUCUCCUAUGCCGCAUAAGAUUUUCUCUCUCUUUGGAUUUGUGAGCCGUAUGAGAGACACUGAGCUUCAUAGUCAACUGAGCUAUCCUGCUACUACCUACUUUUCUUUCUGAUAGAAGGAAUCAAAUGGAAGGUCAUGAUACACUUUUAAGGCUCAACAAUAGGAUUUCAAAGCAAAUGGAAAUAACAAAUCAUCAUAAUAUCUUUAGAUCUCGUUGUUCACUUUUUAAGUGAAACAUUAAAAAAAUUUCAAAUUUUAGCUAAACAUUUUAGCGAGAAGUUUACCAUGAUGACUUUGAUUCUCUAAAUUUACUUUUUGAAAGUUUUUCACUUAUUAAGUGAAACAUGUAUUUGGACUACCGA